UGUGGGAGCGGGCUUGCUCGCGAAGGCGGUGGUUCAGUCACUUAUUAGUCGACUGACACUGCGCAUUCGCGAGCAAGCCCGCUCCCACA
rnacentral:misc_RNA from 1 species